AGAGUUUGAUCCUGGCUCAGAAUCAACGCUGGCGGCGCGCUUAACACAUGCAAGUCGCACGAGAAAGUGGAGCAAUCCAUGAGUACAGUGGCGUACGGGUGAGUAACACGUGGAUCAUCUACCUCUUAGUGGGGAAUAACCCUGGGAAACCGGGGCUAAUACCGCAUAAGCUCGAGAGAGGAAAGCAGCAAUGCGCUGAGAGAGGAGUCCGCGGCCGAUUAGCUAGUUGGCAGGGUAAACGCCUACCAAGGCAAAGAUCGGUAGCCGGCCUGAGAGGGCACACGGCCACACUGGCACUGAAACACGGGCCAGACUCCUACGGGAGGCAGCAGUGGGGAAUCUUGCACAAUGGGGGAAACCCUGAUGCAGCGACGCCGCGUGAGCGAUGAAGCCCUUCGGGGUGUAAAGCUCUUUCGGCAGGGACGAUCAUGACGGUACCUGCAGAAGCAGCUGCGGCUAACUACGUGCCAGCAGCCGCGGUAAUACGUAGGCAGCGAGCGUUGUUCGGAGUUACUGGGCGUAAAGGGUGUGUAGGCGGUUGCUUAAGUUUGGUGUGAAAUCUCCCGGCUCAACUGGGAGGGUGCGCCGAAUACUGAGUGACUCGAGUGCGGGAGAGGAGAGUGGAAUUCCUGGUGUAGCGGUGAAAUGCGUAGAUAUCAGGAGGAACACCGGCGGUGUAGACGGCUCUCUGGACCGUAACUGACGCUGAGACACGAAAGCGUGGGUAGCAAACAGGAUUAGAUACCCUGGUAGUCCACGCCCUAAACGAUGCAUAUUUGGUGUGGGUCAUUCAGUUGAUCCGUGCCGGAGCUAACGCGUUAAAUAUGCCGCCUGGGGAGUACAGUCGCAAGGCUGAAACUCAAAGGAUUGACGGGGGCCCGCACAAGCGGUGGAGCAUGUGGUUCAAUUCGACGCAACGCGAAGAACCUUACCUGGGCUCGAACG
rnacentral:rRNA from 1 species